GCGGAAGCCAGCCACCGCUCUCCAAGGACUCUCGAGCAGCUCCAUCUACAGAUUCACAUGGAGAAGAAUUAAGGGUUCCUGCCAAUCACCAGCACCACUUUGCCAGCCUUGUAAGUGGGCCACCUUGGAAUUGGAGCCUCCAGUUCCUACUGACAUCUGACUGCAACAUCAUGAGAGACCCUGAGUUUGAACCACCCAGCUGAGCUGCUUCUGAGCUAACCCACUGAAACCUUGGCAUCUGUGUGAAGAUGUGAAUGGAGGAGGCAGAGUAGGCAGUGAGUGCCGCAGCCACAGCUUGUGUUCUCUGCAGCCCUGGCACAGAAGAUAGGAACACUCAUGGGGGAUGCGGCCACUGUGAUGUCUUCCCACACAAGAAGUGCCAAGUGCUUUUCUCAUGCUUUUCUGGAUUGUCCCAUGGUGGACGAGUCAGCAGGAGUGAGAUGGAGCAGCACAGUAGAGGGGUACCUGGCAAGGCCCGGAGGGAGGACCCCCUGCCCCAAACAUUUCAAUGAUAUCAGGUUCCUUAGAUCCUGGGAUGAGGAGGUGGACCAGCAGAAGGUGGGCUUGUGAAGGCAGCCCGGGGUCCAAAUCCUCCUGGCUCUUCAGCUUAGCGGGUUAGUUAACAUUCAGAAGCCUUCAUCUCCCAUCUGCAAAAUGGGCAUGUCCAACUCAGAAGCUGCCUUGAAGAAAGGGUCUACCCAGCAUGGUGCGUGGAGCCUAAGCAGUCAGUACUUCAGGACUUCACCCGGCCCCUUUCCAAUAACUGCUGCUGUCGCCCUCACAGGAUGUCACCUUCAGCGUCUGAAAGCUGGGUUUGAUGCGUCUGGAAAGGCGUCCCUGACAGGCGUCGUUGCCAGGAGCCCCUAGUGCCACCAGCAGCCAGCAGGGGAGGGCGUCCUCUGCCCGCUCACUUCUGACCCUUCUCUCGUUGCACCCGGAACAUGGUGCAGCUGGGAGCAGCCUGGGCUGCGCGGAAGGCUCAGAUUUGGGGACGGCCCUUGCCAGUGACUGUGAGCUGGGGUGUCUUGGAAACUCCCAGUCUCAGCUUCUCCAUUUAUAAGAUGAGAAUGAUCAUACCAGACUCAGGCAAGGUUGUUUGUGCAUUAGUGAAAUCAGACGUAUUAAAUAAAGUACCACAUUGAUCGUGGAGUUGUUGAAUAACCAAGAACACGCCUAUCUGUCUCCAAAAAAUAAAUGUUGAAAAUGA
rnacentral:lncRNA from 1 species